rnacentral:rRNA from 1 species
UACGUAGGUGGCAAGCGUUGUCCGGAUUUACUGGGCGUAAAGAGCGCGCAGGCGGUCGUUCAAGUCGCGUGUGAAAGCCCCCCGGCUCAACUGGGGAGGGUCACGCGAUACUGAUCGACUCGAAGGCAGGAGAGGGAAGUGGAAAUUCCCGGUGUAGUGGUGAAAUGCGUAGAUAUCGGGAGGAACACCAGUGGCGAAGGCGACUUCCUGGCCUGUUCUUGACGCUGAGGCGCGAAAGCUAGGGGAGCAAACGGG